AUGCGCAGCUCUGGAGGCCCGGACUGUGGGGUCUGGGGUAGGGGUGGGAAUGGGUGUUGGGGAGGGUGGCACCGGCCCCAGGAGAUGUGGCCACAACUCACGGGGCAAGCAGUGAAGGCAGAUGAGCUAAAGAUCAGGAGCAGAACUCGGUCUGAUCGUGUCCCGUGCCUGCGGAAGCAGUGGGCCCACCUGAUUCUCUGGCACAGCUCCCCUCCGCCCCAUCCCAAGGUGCGUCUGCCCUUUGAGAGCUGGGAUUAAGAAGGUGCUCAGGGCUGGCUGGUCAGUUGUCCCACCACAGGCUGCUGCUUGGAGCUGGACUGACUGAGGCUGAUGGUUCCAACCUGGAUCGGCAACGGAACCCACGGGAGCCAGGGCACCAUGUUUAGCAUUUCGAAAGGCUUCACAGAAACUACACCUUUACCCAGGAAAAGGACACACAAACUACCCAAGACAUCAAGUUUCCUUGCUUUUGUUGGAAUUGCAAGAACAUGCCAGUGCCAAGUUCUGAUUGGCUGUGAAUGACAUAAUAGGAAUUUCUGAGACAGGAUUGGUCUGACUCUAGACAUUGUUACUAGAGCUGGCAUCAGGCAUCAUUCCCCAAACUGAACAUGCUCAAUACCUUUAGAAUGAGAUUGACCUUGAAUACGAGUGCCCUUACUAUCCAAAUUAAGCAACCGAUUGUUUCUUCUUCACUUAGCUGUGCUUAUCAUUAUCUCACCUGCAGCAAUGAUUUGAUUUCAUAAUAUUAUUAUGAACUCUUUGUAAAUGUGGAUUGUUGGGUAAAAUUUGGAUCCGUAUUGAAAUGGAACAAUAGUAUAUGGAAUCAAACAAUUACUGUUAAACAUCAUCUGUUAGAAUCUUGUGGCCAGCCUGCGGAAGAGACAUAAAAAAAGGUUAGUAAAACAGCAGGUCUCAUUUAGUGCCCUCAUUUUAAAAAUGAUCUUUUUAACCAGCUUUGCACUAAAAGCUAAGAUAAUUUACAGUGAAGCACUGACUAUUAAUACUUAGUCUCCAUAGCCUCCUGGGAUCCUGUUGGUUGUAUGUACUUUUUGCGUAGGUAUGUUUGAUGUAUACACAUCAUACCAAAUUCUGCUUUUUCAUUUUGUAUUAUGAUGCAUAGACCUUGCCAGUUUUCUGCUUUGCUCCUGUGUUUGUCAUUCUUAAUGGUCACAGCUGCCUGAAAUAAACCUGAGGUCAGACCAGACAGUCUAGCUCAAGUGAUUGAGAAGUCUGUCUGUUUGAUCUUUGGUACCAUGGCUGGUGGGGUCAACUCCGGCCAAGUCUGUGUGGGUGAAAAAGAUGUGCUCAUGCUUGCUGGCGGAGAAGGCAAUGGCACCCCACUCCAGUACUCUUGCCUGGAAAAUCACAUGGACAAAGGAGCCUGGUAGGCUGUAGUCCAUGGGGUCGCUAAGAGUCGGACACGACUGAGCGACUUCACUUUCACUUUUCACUUUCAUGCAUUGAAGAAGGAAAUGGCAACCCACUCCAGUGUUCUUGCCUGGAGAAUCCCAGGGAUGGAGGAGCCUGGUGGGCUGCCAUUGUCUACGGGGUCGCACAGAGUCGGACACGACUGAAGCGACUUAGCAGCAGCAGCAGUAGCAUGCUUGCUGGGAUGCUGAGAAUAAUAAUUUACAUAUGCUGAAUGUUCUUUUCUUUUUUGUUGUUUUUUGUUUGUCUUUUAAAUUUUUUAGUGGCACCUCAUGUGGGAUCUUAGUUCCCUGACCUGAGAUCAAAUCUACUCUGUGCAUUGGAAGCACAGAGUCUUAACCACUGAAUCACCAGGGAAGUCCCUUGAAUGUUAUUUCUUAAUUUUCCCAGCAGCUCCUCUGAGGUAGGCACUAUUAUCACCAUUUUAUUUACAUAUGAGAAAAAAGAGGCUUUUUGCAGUGACUUGUCCACAAUCACAUGCCAGUAAGAAGCAGUGGGCCAGAGAUCCGAAGCUGGGUCUUUUCAAUGCCAGAGUUCUCAACCAGAUUUUUCCAUGCUCCAUGGGGCUCAUCCAGUUCUCAACUCACUUCAGAAAACUAACCACCUUCCACCUUAAUCCUCACAACAAAUACUUCUGUUAAUGUGUACUCGAGUCACAGAGGCUUAAUAGUAAACGAAUAUGAAGUAAACGCUGCAGGCAAGCAGGAGCCCUGGAGAUGCUCCCAUCCAUGUUGGGCAUUUGCUUUCAGGGUGAUUUUGGCUAUAAAUAGCUUUUUUUCCCCCCUGACCUUAAAACCUAGUCCCCCUGAGAGUGGCCACCAGAUUCCUACACAUGCUAAAAUUAGACAUUAUCUGUGUGCCCUGCUCCAUUCUCCAGACACAAUAACAAGUUUCCCACGUUCUCCCCGCUGCCAUUUCCUGUGGCAAUGCUUGGAAGUCUUUGCAGCAAUCUCUCCUGCCUGCAGCGGUCCUGGGAGGAGGCAUUCCUCUGUCACCUGGACUCCUGUGUGUCUGGGGCCCGGAGACCCAGUUCCUCUGUACAUUUCCAGGGGCUUGCUUCUGUUGAAUGAAAAAAUUUCACACAUGAAUUAAAGCACUCAUGUCCUUGGGCGGGAUUGGAAACUGGAGUUCAGACUCUAGAAGACUUCUUGGGGCAGAGGGGUGAAAAGUGUCUGGAUUUACCCCCUGAGCCUUUGGCUUCCUGGUCUCUAAAAUUGCCCUUUUCUGGAGUGUGGCCCUCAUUCUAGGGUCCUGACAUUAUCUGAGCUCAGAAUGUGUUUUUCUUUUGUUCAGUUGCUAAGUCAUAUCUGACUCUUUGUGACCUCGUGAACUGCAGCACGCCAGGUUCCUCUGUCCUCCACUAUCUCCCAGAGUUUGCUCAAACUCAUGUCCAUUGAGUUGGUGAUGCUAUCUAACCAUCUCAUUCUCUGCCACUCCCCUUCUCCUUUUGCCUUCAGUCUUUUGAGUGAAUUAUAGUGGUUCUAUACCGUUUGGAAAACUUGUACCAUAGAAGUUAUAUUGUGGACUGCAUAAGUUUUGUGGGCCUAUGAACCUAUUUCCCUUUUUUUUUUUCCUUCAGGAUAAAUGGAUCUGAAAUUUUAGACAUUUGAUUUACUGAUGAAUUUUGGAACUCAGUCUCCUUUUGGUUGAGGAUUUGUUUUCUGUGGUUAUUUGGGUGGUGUAAAUGUUGUAGGAGGUCACCUGAGGGACUAGAGCUGUCCAGAAGGAAGUAGGGCUUCAGUUCAGGCGUCACUGCCUUCAUGAAGUAUGCUAGGAUUUGACAAGUCAGAGGAGAGAGGGGAAGGCGUGUCCAGAAUGGGGUGCUUCAGAAAUGGAGGUGGAAGGAGGAUGGUUUGCACGUGAGCCAGUGCCUCCUACAACCAACCAGAGUAUUGGGAACACUUUACAGUAACUGGAAAUAAGGUUGAGUAGACAGGGGGGCUGGGGCAUAUUGGGUCCUGAAGGCCCAGGAGAUUAGAGACACAGAAACAUGAUAGGAUUUUGUGCAAAAUGGUGACAUGAUGAGAGUAGUAUUUUAAAGAAGACUAGUCUGGUAGCUGAAUGCCAUGUAGGCUGGAGGCUGAGGCAAGGGGUGAAGUCAGAAAGAAAUGCUGAGGUGUGAGGUGGGAGUCUACAGGACUUGGAAAACUGAAGAUAAGAGGUUUGGAGGGUAAAGAAGAGAAGACUCUCUUGACUGGGGCCUCGGUUGGAAGAGCAGUGGUUCCUUGAUAGGUGGGAGGGACUUAGUGGGCCAGGGUAGGGUGGGCAGGAAUGAGGUGGGUCCCUUGGGUUUAGAAUUAGACACAGAUAGAGUCUGUGUGUGGGUGGAGAAGAGAGAAGAAUGGGUAAAAGAAUCUCUCUCCAGGAAAUGGGAAUAGUGAUUGGUGUGGAUAGAUGGAUAUGGGAGACAAGAUAGCAACUCAUACUGCCUUCCUGGUGAGUUGGGGGCAAGGCCAGGUGCUCAGACAGAGAAAGGAGGGAGACAAAAUUGGAGGCCUGGAUGGGAGACAAGGCCUGGAACCACACCAGUGGGGGAUCUGACUAGGAAAUCAGUGCGCUCAUUCAGGAAUUUCCUGGAAACAGCAAGGACACAGGCCAGGUCUGCAUGCCACAGCUGCCUCCUGGCUGGGGUCUGCAGCAACCGUGGCUGCGCUGCCCCCAACCCUCCCAGCUCCAUACCCUCCCUGGCUGGGGUCGAGAUCCCUGGCAGCAGGAGUGCCUCGGGCCCUGGUGUGGACGUCUCACAGGCAGUAGAGAGCAGUGCUGAUGACUUAAGGAGGGUGGUGCAGAUGGUGGUUUGGUGUUGAAAACAAGGCCAGCCCUUCUCUUAUUUUGGUCUCCUCUCCAUUAAAAAAAAAAAAAGCCAGGCAGACUAGAAGGCGGACGGUGUUUUGUGAGAGAGGCAGGGAGUUGUGUCCCCAGGGGCCUCUGCAGGGCACUGUAGAAGUGAGGGCAGGGGGAACGUGGAGCUGGUGUGGGAUGAAUCCACAGGAGGGAGGAGCCGAGAGGUUGUGCCAGAAGGGCCGUCUGUGCAAAGUAAGAACAGAGGAAGCGGUGGGGUAGAGAGCCUGAUGGGAGUUCUGUCCUAGCACAGCUGGCGCAGAGGCAGCCCUUUGUGCAGUGUGGCAUUAGGGAUGUGGGGGUGGAGGCGGGCACGGAUAAGGGAUGCCUGAGGAAGCCAGACUGACACAUGUCCUCUGUUGCCACAGCGCACCCAGGUGCUGCUAAUCUGCAUCAUAAUCUUAGCAGACUCAGCCCCCUCUCCACCUGUAACCAGAGAUAAGGGGUGUUUCUACAGCUGGGCUAAGCAAGACAAGUCCGGAAGGUCUAGAAGUGUUUGUUAAUGUGAGAUGAACUGUUGCAAUAUUAUUAGAAAAGUAUUUGGACUUAAUUGCCUUAGGCACAUUAGUCCAAGUGUACUUAGCUUGAGCACUGGCCAAGAAUUUCUCUGGUGCAAAAUGAAAAAGUAGGGCUCUACGGAGGUUCUUUUCCAUGGAAAUUGAAUUAUAGACUCACAGACUGGUAAAAUCUAGAGCUUUCUGGAAAAUUCCUUAAACACAAUGGAGGACCCUCUCUCCCCUCACCCUGAUUCACAGCGAAGGAACCCAAGGUCCCAGGAGGUGAAGGGCACGAGCCCCGUCACUGUCACUUGAGGGUCUUGGUCCUCCUCAGGGCUCCUAGCCUUGCUGCCUCAUGGCUUCCCUUGGUCUGCAUUUUCAGUGACAGAUUCCUCUACCAACUGCU
ensembl:lncRNA